UACGUAGGGGGCAAGCGUUGUCCGGAAUCAUUGGGCGUAAAGAGCGUGUAGGCGGCUCGACAAGUCUGGUGUGAAAUCUUCCGGCUUAACCGGAAGCGGUCACUGGAAACUAUCGGGCUUGAAUCCGGAAGAGGAGUGUGGAAUUCCUGGUGUAGCGGUGGAAUGCGCAGAUAUCAGGAGGAACACCAAUGGCGAAGGCAGCACUCUGGUACGUGAUUGACGCUGAGACGCGAAAGCGUGGGGAGCAAACAGG
rnacentral:rRNA from 1 species